rnacentral:rRNA from 1 species
GAGUUUGAUCCUGGCUCAGAACGAACGCUGGCGGCAGGCCUAACACAUGCAAGUCGAACGCUCCCUUCGGGGGGAGUGGCGGACGGGUGAGUAACGCGUGGGAACCUGGCUCUUGGUACGGAACAACCGCGGGAAACUGCGGCUAAUACCGUAUACGCCCUGAGGGGGAAAGAUUUAUCGCCGAGGGAUGGGCCCGCGUCUGAUUAGCUAGUUGGUGAGGUAACGGCUCACCAAGGCAUCGAUCAGUAGCUGGUCUGAGAGGAUGAUCAGCCACACUGGGACUGAGACACGGCCCAGACUCCUACGGGAGGCAGCAGUGGGGAAUAUUGGACAAUGGGGGCAACCCUGAUCCAGCCAUGCCGCGUGAGUGACGAAGGCCUUAGGGUUGUAAAGCUCUUUCAGUGGUGACGAUGAUGACGGUAGCCACAGAAGAAGCCCCGGCUAACUCCGUGCCAGCAGCCGCGGUAAUACGGAGGGGGCAAGCGUUGUUCGGAAUUACUGGGCGUAAAGGGCGCGUAGCGGUCUGUUGCGUCAG